AUUUGAAGAAAUAGAUUUCUCAGCAAAGGCACAUGAUGUAAAUAGGUACAGGCUGCAAAUUGCCACCACACUUCUAUUAGAGACUGAUGAUUUAUCUAACUUGUGCUUUGUUUGUGGGGAAGCUACACAUGACACAGACAACAGAUGGAUUCAGUGUGACGAGUGUUGCAGGUGGUUCCAUCUUGUAUGUGUCGGGGAGCCUCCAACCGAAGGCUCUUUUUUGUGUACAACAUGUACAGAAAUUAGAUGCUAAAUAUUUUAAGCUU